GACGAAGGACCCGAGCGCUAUCCGGAUUCACUGGGUUUAAAGGGUGCGUAGGCGGGCAGGUAAGUCAGUGGUGAAAUCCCCGAGCUUAACUCGGGAACUGCCAUUGAUACUAUCUGUCUUGAAUAUUUGUGGAGGUAAGCGGAAUAUGUCAUGUAGCGGUGAAAUGCUUAGAUAUGACAUAGAACACCUAUUGCGAAGGCAGCUUACUACGCAUAUAUUUGACGCUGAGGCACGAAAGCGUGGGGAUCAAACAGG
rnacentral:rRNA from 1 species